rnacentral:pre_miRNA from 1 species
GGUCAUGCUUUUUCCACAACUUUUUUGAACUUACUUUUCAUCUUAAAUCUAUCCAACGAUUAAAAACCCUAGAAGCUCAAGAAAGUUGUGGCAGAAUAUUGCAA